UUUGCUGACGAGUGGCGGACGGGUGAGUAAUGUCUGGGAAACUGCCUGAUGGAGGGGGAUAACUACUGGAAACGGUAGCUAAUACCGCAUAACGUCGCAAGACCAAAGAGGGGGACCUUCGGGCCUCUUGCCAUCGGAUGUGCCCAGAUGGGAUUAGCUAGUAGGUGGGGUAACGGCUCACCUAGGCGACGAUCCCUAGCUGGUCUGAGAGGAUGACCAGCCACACUGGAACUGAGACACGGUCCAGACUCCUACGGGAGGCAGCAGUGGGGAAUAUUGCACAAUGGGCGCAAGCCUGAUGCAGCCAUGCCGCGUGUAUGAAGAAGGCCUUCGGGUUGUAAAGUACUUUCAGCGGGGAGGAAGGGAGUAAAGUUAAUACCUUUGCUCAUUGACGUUACCCGCAGAAGAAGCACCGGCUAACUCCGUGCCAGCAGCCGCGGUAAUACGGAGGGUGCAAGCGU
rnacentral:rRNA from 1 species